UCGCUCGCGGCCCUGACAGGAGCGGCAUCCCUGAGUGGGUGGAACCAGCCCCUCUCACCUGCCUCUCAGAGGCUGGCGGUUCCCCUCGGCACCCCGCUUCUCUCUCUCCGUGAGGCACAUCAUCCGGGAACACCCGCGCCCAAAGCCAGUGACUUGAGGACGCCGUCAUUCAAAUCGUGUUCUUCCUCCUGGACAGACACAGAGGAGGAGGGAGUGCGCGUGCGCUCGUGAAAAUGCUUCUAUGUUCUGAGACGGUCUGUGAGGUCAUUUUAUAAGCAUAGAGGCUUUUACCUACGCAGGAUGAAGAUGAAGGGACCAUGGAUAUUUUGGUCGAGUCCAUGUCGUCAGUCAGCUGAUAAAGGCAUUUCUACAGGAGACAGAAUGUCAUUGUCAAAUUCUAAAUCUUGGGACUACGAUGGAGACCACCUUCUGGAGAUUAAAGAUGUAUUCAUUUAUUUGAGAGAGAGGGAGGGAGAAUGAGCGAGGAGG